rnacentral:rRNA from 1 species
GACGAACGCUGGCGGCGUGCUUAACACAUGCAAGUCGAACGGAAAGGCCCUGCUUUUGUGGGGUGCUCGAGUGGCGAAGGGGGGAGUAACACGUGAGUAUCCUGCCCUUGACUUUGGGAUAACUUCACGAAACUGGGGCUAAUAUCCGGUAGGAUCUCCUGAUGCGUGGUGGUGGUUGGAAAGUUUCGGCUUUUGUGGCUGGACUCGAGGCUUAUCAGCUUGAUGGUCAGGUAGUGGCUUCCCAAGGCUUUGACGGGUAGCCGGCCUGAGAGGGUGGCCGGCCACAUUGGGCCUGAGAUACGGACCAGAAUCCUACGGGCGGCAGCAGUGGGGAAUAUUGCACAAUGGGCGGAAGCCUGAUGCAGCAACGCCGCGUGCGGAAUGCCGGCCUUCGGGUUGUAAACAGAUUUCGAAUGUGACGAAGCGUGAGUGACGGUAAUGGGUCAAGAAGCACCGGCUAACUACGUG